rnacentral:rRNA from 1 species
GGGUUGUGAGGUUAAGCGACUAAGCGUACACGGUGGAUGCCCUGGCAGUCAGAGGCGAUGAAGGACGUGCUAAUCUGCGAUAAGCGUCGGUAAGGUGAUAUGAACCGUUAUAACCGGCGAUUUCCGAAUGGGGAAACCCAGUGUGUUUCGACACACUAUCAUUAACUGAAUCCAUAGGUUAAUGAGGCGAACCGGGGGAACUGAAACAUCUAAGUACCCCGAGGAAAAGAAAUCAACCGAGAUUCCCCCAGUAGCGGCGAGCGAACGGGGAGGAGCCCAGAGCCUGAAUCAGUGUGUGUGUUAGUGGAAGCGUCUGGAAAGGCGCGCGAUACAGGGUGACAGCCCCGUACACAAAAAUGCACAUAUUGUGAGCUCGAUGAGUAGGGCGGGACACGUGGUAUCCUGUCUGAAUAUGGGGGGACCAUCCUCCAAGGCUAAAUACUCCUGACUGACCGAUAGUGAACCAGUACCGUGAGGGAAAGGCGAAAAGAACCCCGGCGAGGGGAGUGAAAAAGAACCUGAAACCGUGUACGUACAAGCAGUGGGAGCACGCUUAGGCGUGUGACUGCGUACCUUUUGUAUAAUGGGUCAGCGACUUAUAUUCUGUAGCAAGGUUAACCGAAUAGGGGAGCCGAAGGGAAACCGAGUCUUAACUGGGCGUUAAGUUGCAGGGUAUAGACCCGAAACCCGGUGAUCUAGCCAUGGGCAGGUUGAAGGUUGGGUAACACUAACUGGAGGACCGAACCGACUAAUGUUGAAAAAUUAGCGGAUGACUUGUGGCUGGGGGUGAAAGGCCAAUCAAACCGGGAGAUAGCUGGUUCUCCCCGAAAGCUAUUUAGGUAGCGCCUCGUGAAUUCAUCUCCGGGGGUAGAGCACUGUUUCGGCAAGGGGGUCAUCCCGACUUACCAACCCGAUGCAAACUGCGAAUACCGGAGAAUGUUAUCACGGGAGACACACGGCGGGUGCUAACGUCCGUCGUGAAGAGGGAAACAACCCAGACCGCCAGCUAAGGUCCCAAAGUCAUGGUUAAGUGGGAAACGAUGUGGGAAGGCCCAGACAGCCAGGAUGUUGGCUUAGAAGCAGCCAUCAUUUAAAGAAAGCGUAAUAGCUCACUGGUCGAGUCGGCCUGCGCGGAAGAUGUAACGGGGCUAAACCAUGCACCGAAGCUGCGGCAGCGACGCUGAUGCGUUGUUGGGUAGGGGAGCGUUCUGUAAGCCUGCGAAGGUGUGCUGUGAGGCAUGCUGGAGGUAUCAGAAGUGCGAAUGCUGACAUAAGUAACGAUAAAGCGGGUGAAAAGCCCGCUCGCCGGAAGACCAAGGGUUCCUGUCCAACGUUAAUCGGGGCAGGGUGAGUCGACCCCUAAGGCGAGGCCGAAAGGCGUAGUCGAUGGGAAACAGGUUAAUAUUCCUGUACUUGGUGUUACUGCGAAGGGGGGACGGAGAAGGCUAUGUUGGCCGGGCGACGGUUGUCCCGGUUUAAGCGUGUAGGCUGGUUUUCCAGGCAAAUCCGGAAAAUCAAGGCUGAGGCGUGAUGACGAGGCACUACGGUGCUGAAGCAACAAAUGCCCUGCUUCCAGGAAAAGCCUCUAAGCAUCAGGUAACAUCAAAUCGUACCCCAAACCGACACAGGUGGUCAGGUAGAGAAUACCAAGGCGCUUGAGAGAACUCGGGUGAAGGAACUAGGCAAAAUGGUGCCGUAACUUCGGGAGAAGGCACGCUGAUAUGUAGGUGAAGUCCCUUGCGGAUGGAGCUGAAAUCAGUCGAAGAUACCAGCUGGCUGCAACUGUUUAUUAAAAACACAGCACUGUGCAAACACGAAAGUGGACGUAUACGGUGUGACGCCUGCCCGGUGCCGGAAGGUUAAUUGAUGGGGUCAGCGCAAGCGAAGCUCUUGAUCGAAGCCCCGGUAAACGGCGGCCGUAACUAUAACGGUCCUAAGGUAGCGAAAUUCCUUGUCGGGUAAGUUCCGACCUGCACGAAUGGCGUAAUGAUGGCCAGGCUGUCUCCACCCGAGACUCAGUGAAAUUGAACUCGCUGUGAAGAUGCAGUGUACCCGCGGCAAGACGGAAAGACCCCGUGAACCUUUACUAUAGCUUGACACUGAACAUUGAGCCUUGAUGUGUAGGAUAGGUGGGAGGCUUGGAAGUGUGGACGCCAGUCUGCAUGGAGCCGACCUUGAAAUACCACCCUUUAAUGUUUGAUGUUCUAACGUUGACCCGUGAUCCGGGUUGCGGACAGUGUCUGGUGGGUAGUUUGACUGGGGCGGUCUCCUCCUAAAGAGUAACGGAGGAGCACGAAGGUUGGCUAAUCCUGGUCGGACAUCAGGAGGUUAGUGCAAUGGCAUAAGCCAGCUUGACUGCGAGCGUGACGGCGCGAGCAGGUGCGAAAGCAGGUCAUAGUGAUCCGGUGGUUCUGAAUGGAAGGGCCAUCGCUCAACGGAUAAAAGGUACUCCGGGGAUAACAGGCUGAUACCGCCCAAGAGUUCAUAUCGACGGCGGUGUUUGGCACCUCGAUGUCGGCUCAUCACAUCCUGGGGCUGAAGUAGGUCCCAAGGGUAUGGCUGUUCGCCAUUUAAAGUGGUACGCGAGCUGGGUUUAGAACGUCGUGAGACAGUUCGGUCCCUAUCUGCCGUGGGCGCUGGAGAACUGAGGGGGGCUGCUCCUAGUACGAGAGGACCGGAGUGGACGCAUCACUGGUGUUCGGGUUGUCAUGCCAAUGGCACUGCCCGGUAGCUAAAUGCGGAAGAGAUAAGUGCUGAAAGCAUCUAAGCACGAAACUUGCCCCGAGAUGAGUUCUCCCUGACUCCUUGAGAGUCCUGAAGGAACGUUGAAGACGACGACGUUGAUAGGCCGGGUGUGUAAGCGCAGCGAUGCGUUGAGCUAACCGGUACUAAUGAACCGUGAGGCUUAACCUUACAACGCCGAAGCUGUU